GAUGAACGCUGGCGGCGUGCCUAAUACAUGCAAGUCGAGCGAACAGACGAGGAGCUUGUUCCUCUGACGUUAGCGGCGGACGGGUGAGUAACACGUGGAUAACCUACCUAUAAGACUGGGAUAACUUCGGGAAACCGGAGCUAAUACCGGAUAAUAUAUUGAACCGCAUGGUUCAAUAGUGAAAGACGGUUUUGCUGUCACUUAUAGAUGGAUCCGCGCCGCAUUAGCUAGUUGGUAAGGUAACGGCUUACCAAGGCAACGAUGCGUAGCCGACCUGAGAGGGUGAUCGGCCACACUGGAACUGAGACACGGUCCAGACUCCUACGGGAGGCAGCAGUAGGGAAUCUUCCGCAAUGGGCGAAAGCCUGACGGAGCAACGCCGCGUGAGUGAUGAAGGUCUUCGGAUCGUAAAACUCUGUUAUUAGGGAAGAACAAAUGUGUAAGUAACUAUGCACGUCUUGACGGUACCUAAUCAGAAAGCCACGGCUAACUACGUG
rnacentral:rRNA from 1 species